UAGCAAUGCGCAGCUAUACAUGCAGUCGAGCGGACAGAUGGGAAGCUAGCUCCCUGAAGUCAGCGGCGGACGGGUGAGUAACACGUGGGCAACCUGCCUGUAAGACUGGGAUAACUCCGGGAAACCGGGGCUAAUACCGGAUAAUUCUUUCCCUCACAUGAGGGAAAGCUGAAAGAUGGUUUCGGCUAUCACUUACAGAUGGGCCCGCGGCGCAUUAGCUAGUUGGUGAGGUAACGGCUCACCAAGGCGACGAUGCGUAGCCGACCUGAGAGGGUGAUCGGCCACACUGGGACUGAGACACGGCCCAGACUCCUACGGGAGGCAGCAGUAGGGAAUCUUCCGCAAUGGACGAAAGUCUGACGGAGCAACGCCGCGUGAGUGAUGAAGGUUUUCGGAUCGUAAAACUCUGUUGUUAGGGAAGAACAAGUACCGGAGUAACUGCCGGUACCUUGACGGUACCUAACCAGAAAGCCACGGCUAACUACGUGCCAGCAGCCGCGGUAAUACGUAGGUGGCAAGCGUUGUCCGGAAUUAUUGGGCGUAAAGCGCGCGCAGGCGGUUCCUUAAGUCUGAUGUGAAAGCCCCCGGCUCAACCGGGGAGGGUCAUUGGAAACUGGGGAACUUGAGUGCAGAAGAGAAGAGUGGAAUUCCACGUGUAGCGGUGAAAUGCGUAGAGAUGUGGAGGAACACCAGUGGCGAAGGCGACUCUUUGGUCUGUAACUGACGCUGAGGCGCGAAAGCGUGG
rnacentral:rRNA from 1 species